ACGGAAGGCAGCAGUGGGGGAUAUUGCACAAUGGAGGAAACUCUGAUGCAGCAACGCCGCGUGAGGGAAGAAGGUUUUCGGAUUGUAAACCUCUGUUUUUAGUGAAGAAACAAAUGACGGUAGCUAAAGAGGAAGCCACGGCUAACUACGUGCCAGCAGCCGCGGUAAUACGUAGGUGGCAAGCGUUGUCCGGAAUUACUGGGUGUAAAGGGAGCGCAGGCGGGACUGCAAGUUGGAUGUGAAAUACCGGGGCUUAACCCCGGAGCUGCAUCCAAAACUGUAGUUCUUGAGUGAAGUAGAGGUUGGCGGAAUUCCGAGUGUAGCGGUGAAAUGCGUAGAUAUUCGGAGGAACACCAGUGGCGAAGGCGGCCAGCUGGGCUUUAACUGACGCUGAGGCUCGAAAGUAUGGGGAGCAAACAGGAUUAGAUACCCUGGUA
rnacentral:rRNA from 1 species